UCCGCGCCAGGUGAUGAUGAGGCCGGUGAUGCUCUUGGCCGGCAGCGGCUCCCGCCUGCCUCACGCUUCCCCCGCCAAGAUGCGGCCCCUCAAGCCGAGGCUUCCACACAGCCUCGCCGCAGCCUUCCGGGAAGAAGAAGAAGCGCCAGCGCCGCCGCCGCCGUCCCCUCACGACUCCUCCCUCCCGCCCGCCAGCCGCUGCCUGAGGGAGCCGCCGACGUCACAAGCCUCGAAAACGGGCGGCCGCUGAGGGGGAAAGGCGGGAGGGGGCGCCGCCGCCGCCGCCCUCGUUUCCCACACGCAGAUUUAAAUAUUGAUUCACAAGCACAUUUCCACACUGCCUUCCGGCCCUUGCAGCAGUUUACAGUAACAGUCGAAACAGACACCACGAGCUGUAACCAAGGAUUGUUGGUUUGUCUGGGGGAGACAGACAACAACAACGACAAUCCCUGGGACAGAUGGGGACAUGCUAAGCCAAACCAUGACUUAGCUUGCAGCAACAGGACUGGCGGGGGUGGGAGCAAAGCUGCAGUCUCCUCUCCAGAA